UACAGAGGUCCCAAGCGUUGUUCGGAUUCACUGGGCGUAAAGGGUGCGUAGGUGGUGAGGUAAGUCGGAUGUGAAAGCUCCGAGCUCAACUCGGAAAUGGCAUUGGAAACUACCUUGCUAGAGGGUUUGAGGGGGGACUGGAAUACUUGGUGUAGCAGUGAAAUGCGUAGAUAUCAAGUGGAACACCAGUGGCGAAGGCGAGUCCCUGGAAAACUCCUGACACUGAGGCACGAAAGCUAGGGGAGCGAACGGG
rnacentral:rRNA from 1 species